UUGAAACUGAUUUUUCUUGAGCUGGGGAGAGGUAAAUGGAAAUUCCCGGUGUAGCCGGGGAAAUGCGUAGAUUAUCGGGAGGAAACACCAGUGGCCGAAGCCGGUUUACUUGAACCAUCAAACUGACGCUGAUACAUGAAAGCGUGGGGAGCCAAACAGGGAUUAGAUACCCUGGUAGUCCACGCCGUAAACGAUGAAUGAUAGGUGUAGGGGCAAAUAGCCUCUGUGCCGGAGUUAACACAAUAAGCAUUCCACCUGGGGAGUACGGCCGCAAGGUGAAACUCAAAGGAAAUUGACGGGAGCCCGCACAAGCAGUGGAGUAUGUGGAUUAAUUCGACGCAACGCGAAGAACCUUACCGAAGCUUGACAUCCUGGAAAAAGGCUUGUAAUGAGUUAAUGCCCUUCGGGGAAUCCAGAGACAGGUGGUGCAUGGUUGUCGUCAGCUCGUGUCGUGAGAUGUUGGGUUAAGUCCCGCAACGAGCGCAAC
rnacentral:rRNA from 1 species